UACGAAGGGUGCAAGCGUUACUCGGAAUCACUGGGCGUAAAGCGUGCGUAGGCGGUUCGUUAAGUCCGCUGUGAAAGCCCUGGGCUCAACCUGGGAACUGCAGUGGAUACUGGCGGACUAGAGUGUGAUAGAGGAUGGUGGAAUUCCCGGUGUAGCGGUGAAAUGCGUAGAGAUCGGGAGGAACACCAGUGGCGAAGGCGGCCAUCUGGAUCAACACUGACGCUGAGGCACGAAAGCGUGGGGAGCAAACAGG
rnacentral:rRNA from 1 species